GUGGACGCCAGUCUGCAUGGAGCCGACCUUGAAAUACCACCCUUUAAUGUUUGAUGUUCUAACGUGGACCCGUAAUCCGGGUUGCGGACAGUGUCUGGUGGGUAGUUUGACUGGGGCGGUCUCCUCCUAAAGAGUAACGGAGGAGCACGAAGGUUGGCUAAUCCUGGUCGGACAUCAGGAGGUUAGUGCAAUGGCAUAAGCCAGCUUGACUGCGAGCGUGACGGCGCGAGCAGGUGCGAAAGCAGGUCAUAGUGAUCCGGUGGUUCUGAAUGGAAGGGCCAUCGCUCAACGGAUAAAAGGUACUCCGGGGAUAACAGGCUGAUACCGCCCAAGAGUUCAUAUCGACGGCGGUGUUUGGCACCUCGAUGUCGGCUCAUCACAUCCUGGGGCUGAAGUAGGUCCCAAGGGUAUGGCUGUUCGCCAUUUAAAGUGGUACGCGAGCUGGGUUUAGAACGUCGUGAGACAGUUCGGUCCCUAUCUGCCGUGGGCGCUGGAGAACUGAGGGGGGCUGCUCCUAGUACGAGAGGACCGGAGUGGACGCAUCACUGGUGUUCGGGUUGUCAUGCCAAUGGCACUGCCCGGUAGCUAAAUGCGGAAGAGAUAAGUGCUGAAAGCAUCUAAGCACGAAACUUGCCCCGAGAUGAGUUCUCCCUGAGACUUAGAG
rnacentral:rRNA from 1 species